rnacentral:rRNA from 1 species
UGCAGUCGAGCGCUCUCCUUCGAGGAAGAGCGGGGACGGGAUAAAGCGCGUGAGAUAUACCCAAUUAUAAGGAAUAUCCAUUGGAAACGAUGUGUACCCCUUAUACCCCCUUCGGGAGAAAGAUUUAUCGGAAUUGUGUUACCCCGCGGUAUAUUAUAUAGGUGGGGGGGUAGCGUCCUACCAGGUCGACGAUCUAUAUGUGGUUUGAGAGGAUGAUCACCAACUGUGACACUGACACGCGCCCCACACUCCUACGGGAGGCAGCAGGGGAGAAUCUUACACAGUGGGCGCAAGUCUGAUCUACCCAUGCCGCGUGUGAGAUGAAGGCCUUAGGGGCGUAAAGCACUUUCGCCAGAGAUGAUAAUGACAGUAUCUGGCUGAGAAACCCCGGGUAACUCCGUGCCAACAGCCGCGGUAAUACGGAGGGGGUUAGCGUUGUUCGGAAUUACUGGGCGUAAAGCGUACGUAUUACUGAUCAGAAAGUAGGGGGUGAAAUCCCGAGGCUCAACCUCGGAACUGCCUCCUAUCUCCUGGUCUUGAGUUCGAGAGAUGGAGUGUAAUUCCA